GACGAACGCUGGCGGCGUGCUUAACACAUGCAAGUCGAACGGGUCUGCCCUGUUUUUUGCGGGGAGGGUCAGUGGCGAACGGGUGAGUAACACGUGAGUAACCUGCCCCUCACUUCUGGAUAACCGCUUGAAAGGGUGGCUAAUACGGGGUGUUCUGGCUGUGCCGCAUGGUGUGGCUGGGAAAGAUUCACUUUUGUGGUGUUUUGGUGGGGGAUGGGCUCGCGGCCUAUCAGCUUGUUGGUGGGGUGAUGGCCUGCCCAGGCUUUGACGGGUAGCCGGCCUGGGAGGGUGGGCGGUCCGACUGGGACUGAGAUACGGCCCAGACUCCUGCGGGAGGCAGCGGUGGGGGGUAGUGCACGAUGGGCGGAAGCCUGAUGCAGCGACGUCGCGUGAGGGAUGGAGGCCUUCGGGUUGUGAACCUCUUUCGCCGGUGAAGAAGGUCCUGCUCUUUGGGGUGGGGUUGACGGUAGCCGGGUUAUGAAGCGCCGGCUAACUACGUG
rnacentral:rRNA from 1 species